AUUGAACGCUGGCGGCAGGCUUAACACAUGCAAGUCGAGCGAGCGGCGGACGGGUGAGUAAUGUCUGGGAAACUGCCUGAUGGAGGGGGAUAACUACUGGAAACGGUAGCUAAUACCGCAUACAAUCAGAUGUGCCCAGAUGGGAUUAGCGAGUAGGUGGGGUAAUGGGUCACAUAGGCGACGAUCCCUAGCUGGUCUGAGAGGAUGACCAGCCACACUGGAACUGAGACACGGUCCAUACGCCGACGGGAGGCAGCAGUGGGGAAUAUUGCACAAUGGGCGCAAGCCUGAUGCAGCCAUGCCGCGUGGGUGAAGAAGGCCUUCGGGUUGUAAAGCACUUUCAGCGAGGAGGAGUUACUCGCAGAAGAAGCACCGGCUAACUCCGUGCCAGCCGCCGCGUUAAGUC
rnacentral:rRNA from 1 species